UCCUGGGAGCAGUCCCAACCAUCAGCCCUGGAUUCCUCAGACUCGCUGGAUACAAUGAUUCUUUCUGAAAGCCCUUCUGGAAGACUACAGAGGCUAAGCAGUUGAUGGAAUCCAUUCUUACCAAGAAAUCUGGUGGGGAACUGAUAAUAAAUUAAUACAACCGAACCAAGUCCUUGAUGGAUGAAAGCAGAAGUAAAAUGGUGAACAUUCUAGCAGCUGACAUAACAGAGAAAAAUGGUACAUCACCACCCAGAGAGUUGAAGGAAAUGUAUGCCAAAGGUAUCGUGGCCUUAUUCCCCUACCUCAGUGACCCUUAUUCCAAGAAUGGCUAUGAGCAUUAUUAUGAUGGUCAGAGUGGGACUGGGUACCUCGCCUGGAGGAUUAAAACUAUUCAGAGGUGCACUGCUAAAGACAGACGAUCAGCAUUUGGAGAUGGUGUUUAAUCAGCCAAAGGACCAGAUGACAUGUCUGGAGGACCAACUGUCAGGCGAG